UACGUAGGGUGCGAGCGUUAAUCGGAAUUACUGGGCGUAAAGCGUGCGCAGGCGGUUCUGCAAGUCAGAUGGGAAAUCCCCGGGCUUAACCUGGGAACUGCGUUUGAAACUACGGAGCUAGAGUGCGGCAGAGGGGGGUGGAAUUCCACGUGUAGCAGUGAAAUGCGUAGAUAUGUGGAGGAACACCGAUGGCGAAGGCAGCCCCCUGGGCCGACACUGACGCUCAGGCACGAAAGCGUGGGGAGCAAACAGG
rnacentral:rRNA from 1 species